GACGAACGCUGGCGGCGUGCUUAACACAUGCAAGUCGAACGAAGAGCGAUGGAAGCUUGCUUCUAUCAAUCUUAGUGGCGAACGGGUGAGUAACGCGUAAUCAACCUGCCCUUCAGAGGGGGACAACAGUUGGAAACGACUGCUAAUACCGCAUACGAUCUAACCUCGGCAUCGAGGAAAGAUGAAAGGUGGCCUCUAUGUAUAAGCUAUCACUGAAGGAGGGGAUUGCGUCUGAUUAGCUAGUUGGAGGGGUAACGGCCCACCAAGGCGAUGAUCAGUAGCCGGUCUGAGAGGAUGGACGGCCACAUUGGGACUGAGACACGGCCCAGACUCCUACGGGAGGCAGCAGUGGGGAAUCUUCCGCAAUGGACGAAAGUCUGACGGAGCAACGCCGCGUGAGUGAUGACGGCCUUCGGGUUGUAAAGCUCUGUUGAUCGGGACGAAAGGCCUUCUUGCGAAUAGUGAGAAGGAUUGACGGUACCGGAAUAGAAAGCCACGGCUAACUACGUG
rnacentral:rRNA from 1 species